AGUCAGGUGGGAGUCAUGAGACAUAACUGCAGUCCCGGGCGCCAUCUUGGGACUGCCGCCACACCCGCUCCCCACAUCCUUUGUGACUGUGUAGCUCAGAAUGGUUCCCUACAACCAAAAAGAAAGUUAGGGAGGAAAGGGUUUAUUUGGCUUACACUUCCAUAUCACAGUUCAGCAUCAAAGGAAGUCAGGACAGAGACUGAAACCUGGGCAGGAACCUGGAGGCAGGAGCAGAUGCGGAGGCCACAGAGGGGUGCUGAGCUGAGAAAAAGGUUUUCCCUUAAAUUGGGAAAUUUGUUGUGUGUUUGUGUGUGUGUGUGUGUGUGUGUGUGUGUGUGUGUGUGUGUGUGUGUGUAUAAAUGUGAGUGUGAAAGUGCGGGUAUCUGUGUCUAUGUGUAUAUGUGUCUGUGUUCGAGUGUGUAUCUGUGCAUGUGAAUGUGGUUGGGUGCGUGUAUCUGUUUAUGUGAAUGUGAGUGUGAGAGUGUGUGUGUGUCAGUGUCUGCGUUUAUAAAUGUGUCUUUUUGUAUGAGUUGUGUUUCUGUCUGUGUCCGCAUGUGUGAAUGUGUGUUUCUAUGUAUGUGUGUGAGUGUCUGUAUAUGUGAAUGUGGGUGUGUGAAUGUGUAUGUCUGUGUGUGUGUCUGUGUGUAUGUGUGAGUGUAUGUAUCUGUCUCUGUAUGUGUGUGUGUUUGUGUGUGUGUGUGUGUGUGUGUGUGUGUGUGAAUGUAUAUGUCUCUGUGUAUUUCCUUAAACUACUUUACACCUCUUUCUCCUCAUUCUCACUAUGUCCUUAUUACCAGAGCCUCAUACUUAGGAAAACUGAAUUUAAAAAUUUAAAAAUUAAAAGGUGCCUUCUUGAAACAAAGUGCCACUCCCUGUUUGGUGGUAUGUUUUCAUGUGUUUAUUGGGCAUUGAGAAAAUUAAGUAAUGAUCCUAAGGGAUUUACCUUGUCAGCAUGCUUUAUUGAUUGGAAACAAGAGUCCGGUGUCAGGCAGACGUGUCUGAAUGCCUUUCUCCUCUACUUCCUUGGGGCAUGGCCUGUGUUUCAACAUUUAUAGCUUUCAAUGGGUAGAAGUGAUUUUUAAAUAUGCAAAGUUUUUGAAAGAAGACAGUAUGUAAAAAGCACCAGAUACACAGUAAAUACUCCAAACACGCUCGCUAUUGUUUGUGAUGCUAAUUUGCAAAUAUUUUAAAUUUGCUUUAGUAUUUAGUAUUUAUUUUUAGAUAAUUGAAAAUACUUUCUAAUUUCUCAUUUAAUGUCUUCCUUGACCCAUGGGUUAUUUAAAAACCUGUUGUUUAAUUGCCAAAUCUUUAUGGAUUGCCAACUUUUUCUCUGUUGCUGAUUGCUAUUUGUAAUACUCUGAUCAGGGACAUGCUUGGUAUGAUUUCAACCCUUUUAAAUGUAUUAAGCCUUGUGACAUAUCUCAUUAUUUGUAAGAUUACAAUGUGAUAUAAGGAAGAGAAAUAUUGAUCUCAUCCUCUAUGCCAUUCAUUUAAAGUGUAGUAUUUCUAAUAGUAUUGUAAUUCUUAUAAGACAUUUUAACCUGCCUGAUAUUAAUUAUAGGGUACACUGGAUGGACUUUCCUCCUCUGCUUUUGAUCAGGACCAUUUCAGUCAGCUUGGCAAGACAGCUGCUGAGUUAUCCUUCCAUACAUCAGAGGCAAUGAAUCCAGUGCCAAGAACACAUUGUUCUCGGACUGUAAGAGAUGAACCCAGCCUUAUGUGAUACCAUGCUACUCAGCUUUUCUAUCUAUAGCUCUCUCUGUGUUUAUAUGAGUGUGUGUGUGUGUGUGUGUGUGUGUGUGUGUGUGUUUAUGUGUCUGAGCAUAUGUGUGUAUGUGCGUUUAUAUGUAUGCGUCUGAACAUGAGUGUGUAUGUUUGUGUAUAUGUAUGUGUCUGAGCAUGUGUGUUUGUUUGUGUAUAUGUAUGUGUCUGAGCAUGUGUGUGUAUGUUUGUGUAUAUGUAUGUGUCUGAGCAUGUGUGUGUAUAUGUGCCUGAGUGCGUGUGUAAGAAUGUUUGUAUGUGUGUGUCUAGUAUGUGUGUGAGAGGGACAGAAAGAGACUUGUAGUUUUGUUACUAAUGGUUUGAGGGACUUUGGCUCUUCAUUCUCUCUCUUUCCUGGUAAAUAGGUGGAGACUUUGCUCUUGAUGCCCCGGUGUCAUAUGUGGCUUCGUGCACAGUUAUAAAAACAAAUGAUCAUGAACUGAAACGUCUAAAACCAUGAGUAUAAUCAUCUUCUCAUAAGUUGAUUAUCCCAAGCAUUGAAUUAUACUAAUGUAAAGCAGGCUAACACAACAGAUAAGGAAAUUGUAAAAAGCAGGUGACACGUCUUUUCAUAAGGAGAUGAAGACCAGCAGGUUCUAACACUCAUCAUGGUGGGAAGGGUCAGCUUCCUGGUGAUCUUUGAGGAAGGGAGUUAAAGGGGGCAUGGGUGGACAUAUGAUGUCUGGGUAAGAAUUUUCAAGGCAGAUGGGAUGGCAGGGUUUUCAGGUAGGUGGCAGCCUUUAUGUGUUUGAGAGCAGCAAGAAGAUUCUUUCUUAGUGCAGAAUGAACAGGGAGAAGCAUAGAAAUGAAUGCACCACACUUGAGUUUCAGUGAAUAUUUUUAUGACUAACAUUUAAAGGCUCUUUACUACGUGUUAAGUUAAUAUGAAACCAGUACAUUCAUACUUCAUAAAGUUAUACAAACAACUUUUGAACAGUAUAUGUGUGUUAAGGCUUAUGUGGAUAGGGCAAGACACUUUGAGAUGGGUUGAUAUACUGCCUCUGAACACACACACACACACACACACACACACACACACACACAGGUUUACAUUACACAUUUUGACUUACUUGUGGAGUCCAAUUAUUAUUUUUUUAUAUUCCAUAGGACUGUUUACUUUAGGUUGAAAGGAUCUUUAUAUAUGAUGGAGUGAGACUUGUUAAUUUUUUGAAGAUUUUUAUAUCUAUGCUAGUGAAAGAUAGUGGCUUAUAGUUGUUUUUCUUUGAUGUUUUUAGAAUACAGGGCUGACCGCAGAAUCAGUUUGGAAGGCUUUUUGCUUUAUUUUUUUUCUAGAAGAGAUUAUGAAAAUUUUCUGUGCUCUCUUCCUUAGAUGCUGGUAAAUUUUCUGGGUAGCUUUUUUUGAGAAGGCUAUUACAUUCUGCAUAUGGAAAUAUUACAUACAUACAAAAAGUUCCAGACAAAGUUAUUAAAUACUAUUUAACUUCUUUAGGUAGAUACUCAUGAUGUCUCUAACCCGUGUACAUUUUAUAGUUAAGAUAGCUGAAAUAUUGGUCCACGUUGUCUAACAUGUUAAAGUCAUAGCUGCAUAUUUAUUUUAUAGCUGUUUGCAGUGUUCCUCUGCUAUACAUGUUUCAGCAUCAGCCAUGCCUUUUUCAUCUUGAACGUUGUGAAUUCAUGUUGUCCCUGUCUUUCUUGAGUAGCCUAGAAAGAGGCUUAUCAGUGUUAUGGGUUUUCCCCAAACAGUUUUUGGUUUAAUUAUAAUUUGGUAUUUUCUGCUAUAAUUUAUUGUUUAUUAUUUUGUUUAUUCUAUGCUAAAUUUUUAUCCCUAAACAAGAACAAAUUGAUUUUGAAGUUUUAAAUCUCUUAUGUGCUUAUUAUUAUGACUCCUCCUCUAAGUACAUUUUCCCCAUGAUUCACAAAUUCUGAUCAGUUGUAUUUAAGUUUUAUUUAGCUUAAGCAUGCUUUCCUUUUUGUUUUAUCAUUGUUCUUUUUUUCUCUAUUAAUUAAUUUAUCCACUUUACAUCCUGAUCACAGCCUUCUUCUCCUCCCAGUGUCCCCUCACACAGCCCCUCCCUCGGCCUCCUCCCAGUCUCCUCUGAGAAGGUAGAGGAUUCUUUUGACCUAUGGGUUAUUUAGAAACACUUUAUUUCACUUUUAGACCCUAGAGAUUUUUUUCUGUUGCAUUUCUGCAUCUGACUUCCAUUUUAAUCCCACUGUUCUUUGGUAACAUUGCAUAAUAAUAUUUUUAAUCUGUAGAAACAUGAUUUGGGCUCCCAUAGUUGGAUAGAAUAAUCAUUAAGUUUCUAUGUAGUAAGUUAUAGGUAGGAUUACUUGGGUUACCUAGCUCACUUUUCUCUAACGCUGAUGGCUGAGCCCUGGUAGUGAGCGUGCCCAUCAGGUGUCCCAGCCCCAUGCAUGCCAUCUGGUUCUCUUGGAGACAGGUGCCAGUGGCCCCUGCCUCCCUUUCCUGUCAACAGUUGUUGCAAUCUAUUUUCUUAAGGUCCAGACCGUUUUGAUGAUUUAAUCCCAGUUUUGCGUGAGACUGAUAAGGAGCGUGAGGUACUGUUCUUCACUCAGAUGGGAUGAUGAACUACUCUUCCCUCAGGUGCGAUGGGGUUCUGAGGGAGCUGACUUUGGCUAUGGAGAAGCGGCUUCAUAUACUUCACAAGGACGAGUGUCUCCUCCAACAUCCCCAAACUAUGAGCCAUCUCUCCUUGACGUUCUUUUUGAGAACUUUUGUCAGAUUUCUACAAGUAAUACCCACAGGAAGAAGGCUUCUAUCUCCACUAGUCGCAGAUGCCAAUCUGGCUCCAUGAACGGCCUUCCACUGUCCUGUGGACUCACUGGAUAUGACACAUGCAGGGACAGUGAAAGGCAUUUCUGUUCUCAUGUCAAAUUCCAUCAUAAACAGGUAUGAUUUUUGUAGCCAUCAAAAGGUAAUAAAAGCGUGUUCAUAUUCCAAAUGAAAUGAAUCUGGGGUGGACAAGGCAUUCUGUGGAUAUUCCCAGACAAAGAGAUGUAAAGUGCCCCCUGUGUGUCAGCCAGCCCUGUGGUAGUCCUUACAUUAGCCGGCCCUGUGGUACUCCCUCCUGUCGGCAGACUCUGUGGUACUCCUGCAUGAGCAGGCCCUGUGGUACCCCUGCAUCAAAUUGUCCCCUGGUACUUCUAGCAUCAGCAGGCCAAAGAACCUGCUUCCUUUCGUUCUAAUUAAUAUUCAGCCUCCUGCACAUGAUUAAAAUGGCCAUUUAAGUGUUUCUGCUAGUGCGUGGCUUAGAAGCUGCUGCUUCAGGAAAACAGUUUUUGGCUGUCACUGUCUGAAAGCACCUGCCCUCUGUAUCUGGAAGCAGAGAAGUUUGCCCCAAGACCUCAAUUAGUAAUGGUUCCAAGAAAAAUCACUGAUUCUCAGUUUCCACAACUUUUUCUCAGAGCAAGGACAAGAAUGACAACUUCCACUCUCUGGCGCGUGGGAGCCAAUAAGAGCAGUGUCAGCGUCUUUCCUUUCUUCAUUCUGUUCUGGCUUUCCGCACCUGUCUCCAUUUCUUGUUUCCUCCCAAACCUGGUAUUUUCAUUUGAAAAUAGCGCAACUUGGAGAAUUGGGUUAAGGAAAGCAUCGCACACCUACCCUGCUGCUAUUCCUGCCUCUGCUCCACUGACGUUGGUUCCUGCAUUGCCGUGAGAGAUGGCGCUAUCCACGGUUUGCUUUUCCUCCCGCACCAUUGUGUCCACAGCUGACUCUCAGGGCGGGUACCGCAUGCUCCUCACCUGCUUAACGCCAUGCCCUUAACACUCCUUACCUUUCAGGGUAGCUGAGGUAGGUGGGGUUCUUACGUGUAUUUAUGUAUUUACGUAUGCUGUUCCCAUGACUGGAACAGACCCUUCCUCCCACACCAGAGAAUUUCAUUGUGCUGUAGUUAUUCUUUAUGUCUCAGGAGAGACUCCACAUGUCACUUCGCAUGCCUUUCCUUUUGAAACAUCUUCUUUCAAUGUACCCCAGGCUAGCCUCCAGCCUCUGUCUCCUGUGUCCUGGAUAUUACUAAAUUUGCUAGCUACAUUUUCCUUGUUGCUUUUAGCAUCCACCUCUUCCCCCACAAGCCUUAUCAGAAUUUAAAAUAUAAGUUUUGUCACAUAGCUCUUAAAUUAGACUUUUCAAAACCUCAAGAACAAAAUUAUAAUUUUUAAAAAAUUGUCUUAUACCUUGUGGGUGGGUGGACUACAGCGACUUGCUUAUGUUAGGCAAAUCACCUGCCUCAACCCCACUCAACCCCACUCAACAACCAUGAUUUGUGGUCCACUUCCAGACUGUAAAAAUCUCAAAACUAUCUCAAAGAUAGAGUUCAUAAGUUAUUUUUGUUGAACAUUCAAACACACACACACACACACACACACACACACACACACACACAAAACAAAAAAGAGAUCUGAACACAGUAAGAAAUUAUGAAUACCAGGAAGCAGAGUGUGAAAUGAUGUGAGCUUUAGGAAGAUCUAGAAUGAAUGUUUGCUGGGAUUUUAAGCCAUCUUACCUGAGCAGAGUAUAUUGAACUUGAGUUAAUAUUAAAUUGCGAUGAAUAAGUAUUUAUUUAUUUAAGUGGCUAUAUAUAUUUUUCUCUAGAAACUUCAGUUUUUUCUGUACAUGAUAAAAGUGCUUUGCUGGCCAGAGGCAUUGGUGAGGGGUGACUUCUCUUGGGAGGUUGUCUCUGAGAAUCCCAAUGCCUCGGUGGUCCAGGCCUUCGCCCUUGUGAGGAGCUGUGGAACCUGCCUAUUCUAAGGAACAUCCUACUCUCCAUAGUAAGGGAACUCUCAUGUUUGCCCUUGGCUGGGUAAUAUAACUAUGCUUUCAUUGGCUUAAAUGCUACCCCAAUUCUUUCCAUUGCUAAUGUCAACAGGAGUGGUUUGUCAGCAUAUGCAACCUUGCCCUAUGCAUCAUUUGUUCUGAGAUUCUCAGAUUCAGUGUAGUGUUAAAUAGGCUGGGAUCAGAAGCAAGUGACACUUUCAUCAUUUGAAUUAGGAAGGUGUACCAUGGUUUAGUUUAAGUAGCCUUAUAAAGCAUGUAUGAUUCAAAACCUAUUUUUAUUCAUCCACAAACUGCUGGCUUGUAUCUCAUUAGAUGAAUACAUUUCUACCCCAGUGAUUAUAAGGUAACAGAGCCUGAAAUAUGGCAAAAAUUUUACUUGAGCAGGACUGAAGUUCUUUUAUAAUUCAUAACAUCUAGCCCGUUAGCUUGCUUGUUUUUUGUGUUAAUUUCUUUUAGGUUUAAGAGGCUAAAUUUUUGUUUGGUAUAUCUAUGUUUCCUUUUCCUUUCUCUCUCUCUCCCUGAGCCUCCUGCAUUUCUAAAACAUUGGAAGGUUUGCACAAUCACACCUUGAUUCUCUUUGCUUCCUGAUUUUGAUGUUUCUGAGAGUAAGUCAAAGCCUACAGUGAUGCAGGAUAGUGGGUCUCAAACAUUCUUUGGAUUCUGGCUUGGGCUAAGUCUGUCUGUGGACUACGUUCAUCUAUCAAGUAAGGGAUGAAAUGCAGAGAUCUUAAUGUCAUCACAGCCUCAUUUUAAAUUACAAUUGUACUUAUUUAUACAUUUAUUCAUCUCCCUCCCUCUUUCCUCCCUCCCUCUCUCUCUCCCUCCCUCCCUCCCUCUCUCUCUCUCUCCAUUUCUGUGAGAGUUUCUUAAUUAGUAUCCACUGGCUGCUUUUGCUCCUUUCACCUGUGUGUGUGUGUGUGUGUGUGUGUGUAUGUGUGUGUCUGUGCGUUCGUGCACACGUGUGAGUAUGUGUGCACAUUUUCAUGUGUGUGUGCCAUAGUAUGUAUGCGGCAGUCAGGAUGAGUUGCUACAGUGAGUUCUCUCCUUCCAUUGUGUGUGUUGAGAAGUGAGUUCAUCAGGCUGGUGCCUUUACUGGCUGAGCCAUGUUGCUGCAUCUUGAUUUUGCCAUCUGGAACUUGAAGACAAGAGUUAUUGUUGCAUCUGAAGGUGUUGGAUGCCCUCUCAUUUCUUUUCACCCCAUUUCGUAGUCCACUAAACUGCCUUCCAAAGUUUGAUCUUUUUGCACACUUCGAUACUACUAUACCACAACUUUCUCUGCCUCCGUGGAAUCGGGUUAAGCAGCAGGUUGGGUGAAGAAGAGGCAUAUAACAGAUAAUUGAAGGGACAUGCUUUGCAGCUUCAAAUUCAUCUGCAUGGCAUCCAGCCACAGCCACACGGUGAUGGCGAUAAAAUGUGGAUGUGGGAAACAUCAGCUUCCACUUUGCAAAAGCUUAAGAGCCGGCAAUUGAUUGAAUGGAAUGAGAAGAUGAAGAGAAUUAGAAGUGAUAUUCCUAAGGUGUUCUGCAGACCAACACACCAGACAGAAGACAUGGAUUAAGAAGAAAGAAUGAAAAAAAAGAGAGAAAAGAAAAAGAAACAACACACACACAGCAUCGGAUGAAUUUUAGAGUUGCUGACAAUUCAGAAACAUGAAGGAACAAGGAGAGAAAAAAAGUGGACAAUGUCCUGGACCAAAGUUCAAGGUCAACUCAAUUUCGAGAAGGAAUGUGCAUCUCAGGGCUACUGAGCAGAGCCUUCAAUGCCAAUUUAAUGCAAGUACUCUUCAUCCCGGAACACUAGAAGGCCAGACAUAAAGCUUUGACUUCAAGCCACACACAAAACAUGUGAUUCCAUAUGGGCUUUUGCUGCAUGGUAGCUGUUGAAGGCUUACGUGUGCCAGUUAAAGACAGCUUGAAGGUAACCACUUGAAAGUCAGCAUCAAACAAAGCACUAGCAGCAGCUCCUUUUCAGACAAGGGAGAAGAGUUUUUUCUUCAAGCAAAGGAGCCACUCAAGAGUAAAAGGAAAUAGAGAUUUGGGAGGAUUUCUACAACCUUGGCAGUCAGCAGAAACAACUUCUCAACUCAGUGUCCUUUACUGAAGCUCACUCUUGAACAAGUCCCACCCAUGUGCACAGAUGACUUCAACCGGUUCUUAAAUCCUUGCUGGAAAAAGAAAAGGACCAAGAGAUAAAGCCAUAGUGCAAAAGAUAUCAAAACAAACAAAGGAAGUCAGGAAGGGGACAGAAAAAUGAGAAGAAAGAGUAGAAGAAAAAGGGAGAAGACAUGGAAGGGAGGGAGAGAUGUGUUUGCUUGCAUGUGUGUCUAUGUUCCACAUGCAUACCUGCUGCCUGUGGAGGCCAGAAGAUGGCAUCAGAUCCCUGGGGACUGGAGUGGCAUAUGGUUGUGCACUCUCAUGUGAGUGGUUGAAAUCGAAGUUGGGUCCUCUGGAUGGGCAGCUCUUAACCAUUGAACCAUUGAUCUAGUCCUGGAUAAUAGCAUCUACCAGCCUUGGCAAGUCUUCACUAGCCUGUAGAGGAGGUCAUACAAAUAUAAAAUGUCUAGAACAUUAUUCUGUAAAAUUCAGAGUAACAGAGUUAAAGAGAAAAACUCCAAGAAGAUGAGGGAGGCAGAGAGAUAGAGAGAAAGAGAGAAAUAAGCAAAUGACUAGAUCACAAGGUCACAAAGAAACAAAGGAGGAGGUACAGAAAUAGCUUCAGUCUUUUGAGGGUCAUUUUCCCAAGCCCCAUGACCAUGAGAAUCCCAAGGAAAAAGGAAAUGACUGUAGAAAGUCAUCCUCACCAAACCUACUAAUCACAGAAUGUAAGAAAGCCCAGUCAAGUGAAGUCUCAAAAUCUUAGUCCUAAGUACUGUUUUUUGGAAGCAUUCCAGAAAGACAACAGAAGUCUUGAGGUCAGCCCUGCGGAGUGUCCUGUAGGAUCUUGGGAUGCAUCAGGCUGGAGGAGCUUCAAGGUCAACUGAGCACACAAAACAUUGUAAGGAAGCCAGUUUGUAUCUAUCACUGCUGAAGAGCAAGUGGAUUGCACAUAGGCAAAAGAAGAGUCUGCCCUAGGGUCUAUGAGCAGGAUGAGCUGAGCUGGGGGCUAAGUUGUAAAUCCUCGGAGGAAAGAAGCAUAACGUACUAGUAGUUCUUUUUCCUCAACUGACCUGCUUUGUUGUCACCAAGAACAUUGGAGUGCUGACCAGAUGAUUUGGAGAAGGCAUCUUUAAUUCUAAUCUUCAAUGAGCUAAGAGGGGUCUUCAGGUCUUUGUGAUUUCAUGUUAUGGAUAGUUGUUGAGGAUCCAGAGUUAGAACUCUGCUUUUGGACACAGAUGAUUUAGCCUGCUUGUAUAGACACAAGCCAGAGUGAAACCCAGUACUGUGCAACACCCAGACUUUGACAUAAUGGAAUAUUCGAAGAUACAGCUAACUAAAAGACUGAUUUUAAAAAUUUGCAUCUUUUGCGGGACUACAGGAGUCCUCUGUGACCCCUCCCCACACCACCGUGCAUCCCAGCUGUACCUUCUCACCAGCAACUCUAGAGCUUCCCAUGAGUCAAAUUUAAAUUUCUCCCCAGAGCCAAGCCUAGGAGUCUCUCCUAUAGCAAGCACCACCUUGGUCUUCAAAACUCCUUGUUUCCAAUGAGCAUUAAGCUCAUUUUCUUGGUUUACUCCCCUGUAAAGGCCUUUGCUAAGAAAGCCAAGAGUUGAAGCCAACCCAUCUCUGAAAAGCCCAUUUUCUGUUCUUCUUUCCUUUAGGACUCCAUGUCUUUCUGUGCAUCUUCUUUCUGUAGCCUCUUAACCACACAAGAAGACGGAAUGUUCCUCAGAGGACAGGGAAAACAGUGGCUACUCCUAGGAAGCCCAAACUGCUUUGUAUAAAGACAAAGUGUACACAGAAUCUAAACAUCCACUUAUUAAGAAGUCCUGCCGCUGACAGGCACAAUGAAAAGGACAAAGCGGCAGUGGAGCCCAUGUACAGAACUCACACCCUCUCCAUGCUCAGAGCAGGAAGUUGUCUUAUGCUCGUUGCCACCCUGCCCUAAUACUGACCAAAACGUCCACGAAAGAGACGUGUCCCAAGACAAUGUGACAAGACACGGCACUUCUAAUCUCAUGGCUAUUCCAUGACUAGCAAAAGCUCAAAUGAACAAGGACAGAAAACUCAUUUAGGGAAGGCUCCAAGUUGACUUUCCGAGAUAUGCUUGGGAGCACACCCAUUUCUUUGUGAUACCCUGAUAGUGAGUGAGCGACCUACGCAUGUUAAAGCUACUUCCAAAGUCUCUACCAAGGGUGUCCAGAAGCCUCUCCACACUGGGCUGGAAGAAUGAAGAGGAGUCCAGAACGGUCAUGAAGAGUGUGGGAAACAAGCAACAAGAAAGAACAAAGGGAAGAGAGGGAUCGCAGGAGGCUCGGAGUGGGACAGAGACCUAGGGGCAGCCUUGGCCACCGUGCUUCACCCAGGAGAAAGGAGAUUCUCCACACACGGAGGGACCUCUUUCUGUCCUUCAUUCACCUGUGAAAAUAAUGUUUGUCCAGCCCACAUUCAUAACAUAUCCUAAUUUUUUCUAGCCACAGACAGAAUUUUUAAAAGAGACUCUCGCAUAGUCUGCUUUUAGUUUGGUUUGGGAAGUGACAGAUUUUCCGUUUUCACGAGGGAAAAAAAAACAGUUCCAGCUUCCACAGGAAUUUCAUCUGAGAAAGAGGCGGAUGGCAACACAGAAAGCUUCCCACUGUCGCAUUUCUUAUUCUCUUCAGUGAGCAUCUCUGAACAAUUGGAAGCAGUGCCAUUUUCCCACCAGGAGACACAGUGCAGGCUUUUUAAGAGCAUUUACAGGGUGAUGUCCGUUUGAUUGACCGUUAUCUCGCUGGCAUGCUGCUGCUACAAAUAUGAGCAAUUAUUGAGAAAGCAGUCAAAUUAAAUUUUCAUAACUAUGAAACGGCAUUUUACCUUAGGGGCACAGCUUCCCGCCUAUUUCUACAAUCUAUUUUCUAUGCUUUAUAUUAAAUCUAAACAAAUGAAUGUUUACCAAUAUUAAUAUUUUAACAUCAUAUGCCAGUCUGUGCCCUUUCUCCCAACAACUUUUUGUCUUCCUGGGGAAACUUCUAGUAUUGAGCUAAACUUUUCUGAUGCAGCACCAGUGAUGUUGGAUAGGCUUUUCUUAAUAGCUCCCGUCCUCAGCACAGAAGUAAAACUUUGAAUGUUGCUUUGGAAAAAGUUUAAAAUUUUUAGGUCAACCUUACCAAGGUUUUAUAUCCAGUCCCUGCCAAAGAGAUACCCAAUGAGAAGUUGACCCUGUUUUAGAUGACACUGAAGCUUGCAUCCUUCCCCUCAUCCAUAGCCAACAUUGCUAGGCGAUCAUGCUGGUGUUUGCUGAGAACAGGUACUGGAUCUCAGCAGCCGUUUGAAAUGAGUUGAGUUGACACACAAGGUACACACAUUUGACUGUCUCCGACACAAAUACCUGAUCUCUGUGCUGCUGCUCUAGGCCCGGGAUCCUGCUGUCUCCCUUUACCUGAAGCCACAUUUAUAAGCCUAGCUCACUGAUUAGUAAUCUUACUUGAAUUGAAUCACCAGACCUUGCUAUUCCAGUUUUGCUCCUUCAGGCACAGCUCAAACCCACCCCACUUCAUGUAGCAUUGCCCUGGACCACACCAGUCUUUCUUCUUUGAUAUCGUGACCUUGCCACCACAGUGACCAUUUGUUUUGGCUAUUUUGGGGGGACAGGAGCAGAUUUGCCCAUUGUCUUGGUCUCCCUUCUGGCUAUUGUCACCCAUCUCUAUCAAGAGUCCCAAGGUGAGCAGUGUAUUACAUACUUCCUUAUCCAUCUCCUGUAGCUUCUAUUUGACUUCUUUGUAAUCUUCCUUUAAAAAAAAAAGAAUCAAUUUGUUUUAUGAGCUAAUAUUAUCUAGUGUCUGAACUACCAGAAAGCCUUUCUUUUCUCUUCCCUCUAAAAACAGCAUAGGCAGCUAGAUUAUACCUCAUGGAAGGCCUCUGUAGAUGUUCCUGAAAAGUUCUAUUUGCAGAGCGUUUUUGAGGGCUCUGCUUAUGGUUUAUUUUGGGUUAUGAUCUGUAGUCUGCUUAAUCCAUGCUGAACCUUGGCAGCAACUGGUCUCAUCAGGUAUCAAGCGGAAAGGUUCCUGACUGACAGUGAAGUCAGCUUUAUUACGGCCAGGAAGCCAUCUCCAGAACCUCCCCUCACUGGCUGCCGCGUCCUUCCUUACCUUUUCAAUACUCGCAGAAUGCCUGUGUCACUUAGUGUGUGUGGAGAUUGCUGGUCUAAAAGUGAUCGUUUAAUUUGUAUAAAUACUCACGUGACAUUAAACGCCCUGGUUUUUCAGGAAUGCAUUAUUAUUAGUGCCUAAAACCGAAAAUCCCCGUUGAUGUAACGGAGACUACCUUCUCUUUUGCAGAGGUUAAGAAACUUCUUGCUCUGAUUUUGAGGUCUCUUCUGGUCUAAUAUUGGACAGAUUGCAAUUAAGAUAUUAUUUCCCGGGGCUGGGGAUUUAGCUCAGUGGUAGAGCGCUUACCUAGGAAGCGCAAGGCCCUGGGUUCGGUCCCCAGCUCCGAAAAAAAGAACCAAAAAAAAAAAAAAAAGAUAUUAUUUCCCAGUUCUUCUUUGCUGAAUGGAGGAAGAGAAAACCUAGUCAGGUAACCACCGUGGACAGGAGGAGAGGUAGGGAUCCUCAGAGUCCACUGCAGGGCUGCUGGGUGGAAAGGGCUAUUUGCAGCCUGGCUCACUGAGUUUAUCCACCAUCCAAAGCACUCACAGGAUGCCCCUGAGGUUGAGGACGUGCUCACAGCCACGGCUUUGACCUGACUGCAGUAACUCUGUUCGGCAUGAGUAUUGUAAUCAUGGUCUGACUGCAUCCUUUGGUCUGUGUCAAGGGGUCAAGGAAAAAGGGAGGGAGAAGGAAACACUCGAGUCUUUGUUGCCUUGAAUAAAUUCUAAACAAUUAUUUUGGGGAAUAGAGCAUGAGGGGAAGUUAGAGGAAGAUUAUUUAUUAAUCUCAAGGAUAAUUGUGAAUUUAUACCUGAACUAUUUUUAAAAGUUGAAAAAUGCGAGUAUGUUAACUUUUAGAGCUGAUUUUAUCGUGUAUUAGAGAAUCCUGCGCAAUAAAUUGAGCGAUAUUUUAUUUUCUUAAUUAUUAAUUGCUUCUUCGUCUCCUCCAUCCUGAGAUCUUUGUGUGUGUGUGUGUGUGUGUGUGUGUGUGUGUGUGUGUGAUUUUUCUUCCUUAGCAUUUUCUGCCUUGAAAAACUCAUGUCAAAGCUAUGUUCAAAUCGAAUGCCACCGUCCUCCCCAGGAAAGGAACUUUUGAAAUUGCUACUAAUCUUCCGAAUCAUACACGUUUAUUCAAACUGAAAUGGCGUUGGUAAAGGAGAAGAAAGAAAAUUGAAAGAAACGUCGGAAACGAUUCCUGCCUUCUCCCUAGUACAAUUCGGGCAGUUUGUGAGUAGGAUAUCUGUGUUUCUCCAGGGAACAAAUCCUACAGUUUCAGGCAAUAAAAGACAUUUUUGAAUCCUGGCCAAUGGCUGCCUACCUUUCUUGGACACAUAGAACACGGGGCUAGGCAAAUAAUCAACAGCGUUUUUAUCUCUCCCCGUGCUGAGCACUACACUGGGUGCUUUUGGAGAAGGGUUGCCAGAAGGUGUGUCCAUCGUAUAUUGAUGCAGCUGCUUUCUCUAUUCUUGUUCCGGAACUAUUCUCAGAGGUCUUCUUUCUCAGGAGAGCCGCUGGACAAGCUGCCUCUUCCUUCAGCAAUGUGAUGCCAAGUGUUGGUUUCUGAAGCUGGCCCCCUGAUGCAUGCCUUUGUUUCCUGAAAAGAGGCCCCAGCUUCUACUACCUAGGAAGUAACAAAAUAGACCAGCUUUGUUGAACCACCAAUAGGUGUUUGGGAUUUUUCUAAUGUAGCAAAUAACGUUUUGAAAACAACGCCUCUGAACACUCCACUUAGCGUCAUUGUCUUGACCAGAACUUUCUGAUUUAGACAGACCAUGAAACUUUGAAGCUGAGACAACUUAUUCAUCUCAAAAUUUCUCUGAGAUUUGUUUUAGCUUCCUGCUUGGUUUAAAUGUUCAUUUAUUCAUUCGAAGUCUGGUACCUGAUGCUUCUGAUUUGGCAGAUUAUGUGCUUGUUGCUAGGAACAGAGGUAACGAAGAUGACAAGAAGGUUAUGCUGUGGAAUUAAACGUCGUAUGGGGAUUCUGCAUCGAUGGGCCUUUUUACUCUGACUAUCAAUCACGCUCAUACGAGAUUAUUUCUGUCAUUAUGAAUUUAGGAAAGCAGGCUUUAGUGGCAUGCCUGGAAUUUUAGCACUUUGGGAAGUCAAAGGAAGAUGAUUGUAAGCCUGAAGCCAGUCUGGAUGAUAAAGACAGACCUUGUCUCAGAAAACAGACAGAAGGAGCCAUGCUAACAAUAAAAACGAAUUUAUGUAUUUCUGAAGAAGGGUGCGAUAGCUCUUGCAGCUCAGGGGAUUGAGAGGGCUAGUGUUGUUGUUGUUGUUUGUUUGUUUUUAAACAUAAUUUAAACAUGAGGCAGAUAUUGUAAAAAAUCAAAUGAGAUGAGAGUUUGAAGCUGGGAAGACCAAUUAUAAAAAAAAGUAGGGGGUAUUUUCAUGGAAAGGAUUUGGGAAAGCGUAAAAGAAAAAGCUGGAAUUGAAACUAAGCCUACAUUAGAAAAGUUCAGAGAAAGAGGCUGUACCUGGCGAGACAGCCUUCACAAACUAAACAAAGCACCCAACAUUAGAGGGCAGAAAAUCAGAAAAAUGGCAUAAAGAUCUAAAUCUACAUGUGCGGUUGAAGGUCAUGUGGCUUUAAGUAGUGAAUUCUUCAUGAAGUACCUUUAGAAGAUCAAUUGGCAGAUCGUCACAAGGGAGUGGCACUGAUGACAAUACUUGUCUAGUAAGAAAGACUGGAUCAUCCAGAAGCCACAAUACUGGUUACCAUACAAAACAGGAAAGAUUCUAACUAGGAUAGAGGAGGGGUAGCUGGCAAAAGACUGGAAAGCGAAUUAAAGCCAGGCCAGUACAACAUCCAGCCUGAUCAGAUGCUGCUAACAGGGGUCCUUAACUAUGAGUGAACUAAGGGGUGUGUUUACAGAGCCAUUUUCCUUUCUUCCUUUCUUUCUUCCUUCCUUCCCUCUUCCGUCCUUCCUUCCUUCCUCCCUCCCUUCCUGCCUCCCUCUCCUCUUUCUUUCCUUCCUUCCUUCCUUCCUUCCUACCUUUCUUUCUUUUUUGGAUAACAUUUUUAUUCAGAAUUAAGUAGGUGAUGACAGCUAAAUUUUUUAUUAUUAAUUAAUUUAUUUACAUCCCAAAUGUUGAGUCUCCUUCCUGGUCACCCCUCUCAGAGGUGUUCUCCCCUUGCCCCUCCCCUUUGAUUCUAAGAGGAUGCUCCCCAUUUAUCCCCCUACCCUGGGGCAUCACAUCUCUACAGAGUGAUGCGCAUUCUUUCCCACUGAUGCCAGACAAGGCAGCCCAAAGGACCAUUUUCUAGUGCAUGUGUCCUGUGACUGAGUCACAGAUUGGAUAUUGCAGUCAUUUUACUUUUGAUGCUUUGCAAAGGAAAAAAAGCUAGUAACUGGUCAAGGCAACGUCAUAAUGAUAACGAACUGAAGACAAUCUGGAAACAGAAGUAUGAACCAAUAACUAAGGUCGGUUCACACCGCCAAUGACAGAAUUAAGAACUGACCCCAAAUGAGAAAGAAGAUAUAUAUUCAUGACUUUGUCGGAAAGAAAAGGGUUGCUUCAUUGCUGCAGAAAUGCAGGAAAGGAAUAUUUUUACCUUAGUGGUAAAAAGAAAGACUAACAUUUAGUGUGCACGUAGUAUAUGCCAGGGCCUGCACUGAAGAGUCUAAUGUGCACAGGAAGAAUUCUCAUCUUAUAGCUCCUUCUAGAGAUGAACAUGAUCCAAUGUUAGCACAGUCCUCCUUUGUUGCUAAAUAAUAUAUAGUCAGUAUAUAGGGUCAGUAUAUAGGGUCAGUAUAUAGGUACCAUACAAUAUAGAACAGCAUAUUUAUUCUCAUCUUGUGGGUUUCAACCCAAUUGUGGGGAGUCUAACAACCAUUUUAUUGAGGAGUUGCACAUCAGAAAUCCUACAUAUCAGAUAUUUAUGUUAUGAUUCAUAACAAUAACAAAAUUAUAGUUAUGAAGUAGCAACAAAAUAUUUUAUGCUGGGGGUCACCAUUUUAUGGUUGGGGUCAUGACAACAUGAGGAGCUGUAUUAAAGGAUUGCAGCAUUUGAAGGGUGAGGAUCACUAAUAUAGAUGGAAAAGGUUGAAGGUUGGUAUCUGUGUUAGUUAUCUGUCCUGUUUUUGUUUGACUACUAACCAUACAGCAAUCCUCAUGCUAAAACAGGAAAUGAAAUGGAAUAUACAGCAAUUGCUAGCUGGCUACUUGGCUCCUCUGAGCCCUUAGCUUCAAGGAUUUUUCAAAAUAUAUUAUUUUUUUUUUCUGCACCAUAGCUCAGAGUUGCUAAAUCCAGAAAUUGAAACAUUCUGAGAGGCAAAUCAUUUCAGGGUGAAUCAAAGCCCUUGGAACAUUGCCCUAGGAUUUUAAAGAUAGUGUUUGAUGGUGAAAAAUGUUCCAAUUUUAUAGGAAAUCCCAAUUAUGCAAGGCUGCCCCAUUCACUUCCUCCCAGCAUGCAGGGUGUUCAAUAUGCUGUCUUCAUCUGACUUUCACUGUGAGCAGAAGGCCAUGAGUGAAGGUGAAGGCAGAGGUCAUUUGACGCCUAGUAGUUGUGGUAGCAUAGCCUCUGUUUGUAGCUGAGAAAGCCUGAGGCUGGUGGCUGAUUCUCACCCCACCUGAGUCCUAGAAUCAGGUGCUUCCUUCACUCUGCUCUCACUAGCUGCUCUUCUGGCUGCCAUUUUAGAACAGGCAGCUCGGAGCUGGAUGUGGUGUGUCUGAGCAGGAGGCUCUCCAGAUCAAAUCCUCUUGUUGACUGCAGCCGUGCCUUGCUUCUAUGUGCUCUGCAGUACCCGCGGUGGAUCCAGACAGUUGAAAAAGAGAACCAACAUGAUUCGUCUUCACAGAGGGAGCUCUGUCACAAAGUCAGACUCUUAACAUGAAGCUAUAAAUUCUGCAAGCUGGGAACCAGUCAGGUGAAGCUCAAAUACCUCAAUUUUUCUACCUGUAGAAUGAGGAUAAAGAAACCUACAGGAGUACAAAGUCAUCUGCGAAAUUAAGAGAAGCAAAAACACAGAGCAUGUCGGAGCUGAUGAACGAAUGGGGCCACGGGCGUUGGAUCACAGCAAUGAAAGUGAAAUACAAGAAAGGUGAAGGGAAGUUGGUGGGGGGGCUGUGGCAAAGGGCCUACAGCUGGAAUGCUUGCGGAUUCCGGAGAUGCUCUUCCUGCCUUUGUAAUAAGUGAAUGCUGACCUUCAGUCCACAGUGAUUUUACCUCUUAUAAGCUAAAGGGCAAGGCAAAGCGAAGCUAUGCGAACCCAAAACACGCUCUCAAUCCCCUUCUCUUCCAAGUUCAACUUAUUUUUCAGAGGCCUAAGUUAUCAUUUUCCAUGGUGCCUCCACCCCUGAUCCUUUCUAAGCAUGGCCUCCUUUUGUAUUAGGGCAGUAUAUUACAAACUGUGUGCUAAUAUACUCUGCCUCUUUGGGAUGUAGCUUCCCGGCAAAAUCAAGAUUACCUCUAGUAUGAGAAACAUGAGUUACCCUUCUUAUCUAAGCACUGUAGGACCUUGGGUGGCUAGCACAGAGAACAGCUAAACUAAUUACCACAAUGAGAUGGAAAGAGUAAUAGUUUUUUUUUUCUCUCUAACCAAACAAACCCUACUCAAGAUGGGGAUGCAUUUCUUUGCUUAAUAGAUAUUACAUUUUAUCUCAGCUACUGAAGAGAUGUUUGUUUAUUUCUGUCUGUUGAUUUUCUACACUCUGACCUUGCUUUUCUUCUUCAUUUGUACAGAGGAAUAGACUUUUAACUAAGAACACUUUGCAAUUAUCUUAUUUAAUUUUCACAUUUAAAUUGUGAAGAGUUGCUAAACUCUGAGAAUGCAGUGACAGUAAUCACACCAGGUACCCUGACCUUAGGGUGGCUGAUUCUAGAUCACUGGGUCUCCUUUUCCCCUCCCACUGAAGGAUGACAACUUUCUUGUUUGCAAUUUACGUGGGCAUUCUGUCUGCCUUGGUACCAUUCCUCACUCAAAUCUUCCAAGGAAUUUAUAGUUCUGAGGCAUAAGGUCUGCCCAAACAAGGAUUUCCAGUUGACCUGAAAUAAUGUCAGCUGGAGUUUUGCAGAGGAAUUUAAAAUAAGUAUAUAUGUAUACUAAAAUUCUCCUGCUUGGUAAGGAGUUAGCCGUCCCACUAUUCUUGACAGUUUUUUAUCCCAGUGGAACCAAACAUUGUGUCAGAAAAAAAAAACAGUGUAAAUACUGUGAGGUAGAUCAGGAUAUAUGUUUUGGUGGGACUGGAAGUCAAACACUUACAAGAGGAUUGGGAAUCAAAUAAGUGGUUUACCUCUUCACAUUUGCCAGUCAUUUCCUUGCCUUUCUUCCCUGUCCUGUAUUAGCAAUCUGUUCUUAUAAAAUCUUUCAAAACUUAAUAAUUUAAAGCAUCAAUCAUCUGUUACUUCUCACAAUUCCUGACAGUUAAGAAUCUGAGAGGUCUAGCCAGUUCCGUGAUGGAGUCUGGCAGUCAAGAGGGCGAUUUGAGGCUUUGGCUCUUCACCAUGUGUGGAAUUCUUGGUAGUGCUCCUUGCCACGUGGUUCUGCUUAAAUGGAGUGAUGAGGACAGGUGUGUGUGUGUGUGUGUGUGUGUGUGUGUGUGUGUGUGUGUGUGAGAGAGAGAGAGUAGUAGUAGUAGUAGUAGUAGAAAUGAUGGAGAAGUCACUUAAAGAAUGGGUGCUACACUGUUCUAACCCAUGUUCUCCGAAGAGACAACUCAUGUCGCCUGGAUGUUCUGUUGGUCAUGGAGCAACACAGGUGCAACGUGCAAGGACAAUGAUGUAAGAACUUAAAAGGAAGACCCUUGGAGGUCUCUUAGAGACUGGCUUCCUCUAUUCCUUCCCUUGAAAAGUCCUUGAUUUUAAUACCCUCCCAUUUUAAUCAGGGAUUGUUGGAUAGUGAUUGUUAGAAAUUUUACUCCACUUUUGUUUGUUAUAAAUAAACACAAUUAACACUGAAGGGAGUGCUUCAAAUGUUCUCCUUAGGCACCAAACUAUUUUGUAGCUUUAAAAUUCUAAACAGAAGAUGGUGGUGUUGGUAUACAUGGCCUUGCAAUGAAAUUUGGAAGUAAAGAUAUCAUGGAACUUGGGUUCUUAUCUUGAAAGAUAGGUGAUUUAUAUCUCCAUCAAACUGGCUUCUAAAACCAUAUGUAAUUCCUCAAAAAACAUUUAGGCCAUAAGUAGGCAAUAUCAAACUUUCUGUAUUACCUGUUAAUUUCAAAUGAACUAUGUGAGGUCCCCACUACCACCCCAUGAAUGCCUUUUUUUGGUCCAAAUCAAGACUAAAAGAGCAGGAGGAGAUAUGAGAAUGACUCUGAUGUAGAUGGUGUGUGCCGACACUUGCAGGAAGGAUGCUACCUUUUACUAGAUUUGGCUUCUCCACAGAAUGUGAACUCUUAGUUCCCAUUAUGCAUGUCGGUAAAUUAGAGAAGCAAUGACUUCUACCAGCCAUUUCCACGGCUGAUCUUUAGUUGGUAAAAGUGAGAUGCUUUCUCCCCCAAUAGAACAAGGUGAGUUUUUGGUGAAGUCACAUGAGAGGACAGAAAAAACCUCAGAACUGAUUGGAUCCUGCUCUUCUUAACUCCAGUACUUUGGUGAACAUGAUUAUUUGAGUAAACUAUUGCUGGGAACAAGGAUCUGAUGAGACUUUGAAGUGGACAUGCUAACUGUAUCUUUCCUGUCACCGUAUCUCUUCUUCCAUAGAGUUCAUCACAGGUCCGCUCACAACAGCACUCUAUUGUCUAUCAACAUUGAAGACAAAGGGUGUUUUUCAAGUCAUAAAGCAUUUAAAUGUCUCAAAUAAAAAACUUUGCCAAGCAAUGAGAUUUGUUGCUAUGCAUGUGUGGACGCAUUCCUGUGUCCAUAUUUCACCCACCGAUCACAUGUACCCAAUGGUACAUAGGAAUAGUCUUUAGUGGUUGGAUUGAAAGAUCUCUGGGGUUAAAUAUAGUGUUGCUCCUCAGGGCUGUGUGGGUGGGGGUCUUGGGCUUGAGUUCGCAUCUGGGAGAAAUGAAGGUUGAUGUGACAAGAAAGCAGCCACAGGGAUAACAAUUCCUCUUACAUCCUUCCGGUCAAUGUGAGGCAACUUUAACCUUAAAACACUCUAUGUUAAAGAAGACAGCAAAUUGAAAUACAAUGAAUUUGAACAAUUUAUUUAGGAUUAUGAAGCUGAUAAUUGGUAGUUUUGAGACUAGCUCCUAUGUGAUGCAGGAGUCCGUAGUAGUUGGUAAUUCUGACAUGCUAGGAUAAGAUCUGCAUAAGAGAAUGAGUUAUCAGAGGAGAAUCCUGUGGAUAUUCAAACAAAUGUUGAUUCCCUUCUCUUCUCUUAUUUUAAGAAUUUAACCAUCAGAUGAAAGGGACAAUAUCUCAACAUAUGUUUAAAAUGAUGACCUCUGCCAUUUCACAGAAAGAUUCCAUAUUUUUUUUUGAAACAAACUGCAGAUGUUCAUAGGAUUGACAAAAGAACAAAUUGGACACCCCUUGCGUUUGUUCUGAAGCUUGAAAACCUUUGUGGAAAAAAUGCACAUUAUGGGGAGUUUCCCCCUUUCUUAAGUGGUCCUUAUUCUAAUCAUAAUGUGUAGAAGGAAAUUUAAAUGUAAAAAGGUAAAAAUUAAAAGAACUAUAAAUAACAACAAAUGGCUCCCUUGUAAAUACAAAGCCAUAUUCACUCCCUGAACUGUUAUGUCUACAAACUAUUCGAACAACAGUUAAUAAGCGCAUUCCCACUGAAAGCAAAUGCUAACUGAUGUCUCAUCUGACUGCACCCUUUGUUCGGCGUGUUCAGAAACGGAGAGCCUGGAGAUAGGGAUUUCUGCGCUCUUUGCAUUCAGAUGAGUCCAUGUGCCCACCAAAGAAAAGGAAAAGUUUUCAAGUUCCCCAAAUACUCCUUUGCUAAUAUUCAUCUCUGUCAAAAAAUAAUAGCAUGCUUUGCUUGGAUUAGCUGAGCAUCCAUCUACUUUCCCUCAUGUUUCCCAUUCCCUGUACUUUCCUACUGAGAUAACGGACACUAUGGGUCUCGGGCUAUUGGAACUUGGACUUUUCUGUUAUCAGCUUUGUGUUUAGGAGAUCGUGGGCUGAACCAGGGACAGCAGAGUAGCACUGUGACUGUUGCAAGGACCAGGGAGUUAUUGGCCUGGGUUCUACCCUAUCCUCUAUAUUUAUAACUGUAAAGAGGCAAUGCUAUUGGACUAAAUAUCUGGGCUUAAGGGUAGACUGCACAGUGUUUGGCACAUAGCUACAGCACAUAGUUAGCCGUUAUAGAUACUAAAUUGUAUAUUCUGUCUCCCUUUCUUCCCCUCCAUUUUCUGAACAAAUAUCGCCAGGCCAGAUCAUUCUGUUUUAUAUGAAAAUAAAUAUUGUUCUCAGUGAUUUGGCACAGGGAUACUCUGUGAAGCGAUUAAAGGCAGCACAGAGGAUACCCUAAAAUGUGUAAUUGUUUGAGUUUUGGUAACUUUACAUAUCAUUAUUGAAUUUGUCUCUGUCAUCUAGUUUUCUUGAAUCUUAUUUACUUUAUAUAUAAAAGAGAGGCAAAUAUAAUAACACUUUGUAGGUUAUGAAAAUGUCAACCAAAUUCUGGCCAAUAGAAAGCUCGACACAGAGUCUAAGGAGGGAAACUUAUGGCAUAUGCCCCUGACUGAGUUUACAGGGAUAGGGAAAAGCAGCCAUAUUUGGGUGUCGAAGACAUUGGAACUUUACAAAAUCAUUAUGAAAAAAAAAUAUUCAUUUCUUCAAGUCUAGAUGGUAGGAAGUCUAUGCAACCAGCAUAUGCAACUGUGUCUCAUAAUAACCACAACUUACUGACUGUUGUUGUAAAAAUAUAAAAAUAAAAAAGUAUGGUUGUCUUUUAUCCCAUUAGGUCCACUCCGUUAUCCGUUAGGUGCCCAUGGUAUCUGCUAGGAAUCACAUCCCAGCCACGCACUUUCCUACACUCAAACCCUCACAUAAAAGAACACACAACACAAUAAUCUUUGACCCAAUUGGUAAGAUAUAAUUGCCCACUUAAACAUACAAAGCCCGGUACCAUCCAUCCCUUAGGAACAUUGAUAACAACCUGUAAAUACACAGAGCAGAAUCUUAACAUCACCUGCCUCUCUCCAUCUCCUGUCUCCUCCUUUCUCUCCUAGUCUCCUCCUCCUCCUUCAAACUUCUCUUCCGCCCAUCCUUCCUUCUCCUCCAAUGACAGGCUUCCUUCUAUCCUGUACCUGCCCCUCACCUGUACUUUACAAAUUCAAUGGGGUGGUGGUUUUGGUAAAGUCAUCUGACUUCUGAGUACUUGACUAGGCAGCUGAACUUGGGGCAGUGGAAUUAGCAUCAAAAUACAGAUAACUUCAGGGCAAACCACAACAACUGACUACUUAAUGUAUUUAUGGAGACUAGUGUAAAAUCUCCCAGCCAAAGGUGUACAUUAUCCAAAUGAAUCCUUCUAGUUGCCCAUUGUGCUUUGAAUGAGGCCAUCAAGGUCACUGAAGACCUUGCCCGAGACCAUCAGUUGAAGGCAGAACAAGAAUUCAAAGCCUUAGCACUGUCCUGCUGCUUCACCAGAGAAGCUAAAAGUGCAGCUGGGUGCAGUAGGCCAGGACAGUUCAGACCCAAGACCUUUCUACCUGGGAAGUUUACACCAAUACUUCAAAACAUGCUGCUUCUAAAUACUUUCAUUUUUCCCAUGCAAAAGGUUUUUAAAAACCUUGAGUUCAUGAUGCCCUUUCAUGUCUUUUAUUUUAGCCAUUGUUUUGCUAAGAAUCCUGCAGAAUUACAUUCCUGAGCAUCUCUUCCGUUUUUAUAUUCCUGGUAAUUACACCAUGUACAAAAGAUCUCCAUGUAUGUUUACAAAACAAACCCUUACUAUACUUUGGUAAUUACGAAGUCUGCCACUAAAUUACUGUUUCAUGUGUUUGUGUUUCAAUUAUUAACUGUGGCAGCAUAUAACUAAGCUGAAAACAUGUCAUUUCUAUGAUAAUAAGUGAACGCAAUUAGCACCAUAUCUAUUCCUCACGCAAAAUAUAUUCAUUUGCAUCCUGUCUCCUUGUAUUAUUUAACUGCAUUUAGGCCAAGCGAUGUCAUUCUAUGUUACCUUGUUUUUUCCCCAAUCUAGAGAACUCUGUCUUAUUGUAUAAGUGUUUUUAUGUUGUCUAAAUCAACAGAAGUGGGCGGAGUGGUAAGCCUAGUCAAACACUUCACUCACUGUUAUUUUCUGAUUCUCCUCUCUGAGCCCCUACUUAAGAUGUGUGGGGAUUACUUUCAAACUCAUGAGAUGUGUGUUUAAUAUAUCUUUGCAAAUAAAUUAUAUGGUUUUUAAUCACCAAGUCUAGUUUCCUAAGCAGUAAGCAAAGUCACUUUAUUACUUUAAAGCCACAUGCUAAGGGGAAUGUGGCACCAUAACUGCCCACACUUCAUCUACUUUAUAUUAACUACAACUCUUUGGGUGCUAUAUAAUGGAAAUGCAGCAUUCUGUAUAAUAGUAUGAAGUAAAAUAGUAUAAAGAAGCAUGAAUUAAUGUUGGUAACUUAGAGACCGAGAAAAUCUUAAAACCAAGAAUGUAGCUGAACCAAGGAAUAAACUGAAUUCAGCAACCAGAAUUCAGCCAAGUUGGCACAUUUGGGUUGAGGGUCUGUCUAAUUCCUUUCUUCCUCUGAUCUCUGAUUUAUUCUGCUUUGAUUUGCCAUUCAUAGACAGAUACAGGGUGAUGUCACCUUAUUCUUGAAUGGUAGCUCUUUCUGAAAUUUUACAGACUGACCACGUGGUUUGUAAGUCUGAGAAUACACUACUAGAAAUAAGACUGCUCAUCAGAAAUCCAAGCCACCCCUCACACUCUUGCACAAUUGAACAUACUCAAAUCAACAGUAUAUGUGAAAGAAAAAAUGUUUCUAAAAAUUGCCCGUUUAAUAUUGGUUAGCUUUUCAUAUUGUGUAAAAAAUCAAACGUACUAUGAUGGGACAGAUAAAGACAAUAGUUCCAAUGACUUUGGUAAAAUAACACUAGCCACCAUGGCAUUGUUAGCCUUGAGCAAGGCACUGUGGGAGAAGCCUUAAAGUAUAACCAAAAUUAAACUGCACAAUACUAUAGAUGGAAAAUGUUAUCCUCAUACAACAAUAACAUUAUGCCAGCAUUAUUGUGUGAUGAAAGGAAGGCUUAGGAAGGGCAAAAGCCAUCUCUAACUUGCUCAUCCAUGAAGAACUAGAUAUAUCCAGGGGAUUCAGAGGCUACAAAGCACAUGCCUCUAACCUCUGAAGUUUACAUUUACAGCCUGAUGUGAUUGAUGGCUUAGCAGGUGGAUGCUCUUACCUGGAUGAACUGAAUCAAAUCCCCAGAAGCCAUAUAAUAGUAGAAUGCUGUCCUCUGACUACCAAACAACCACACGCAUAUGAACAUGCAUACACACGCACACACACACAGACUGAGAGUAAUAGAUACAAAUAAAAAGUUUGGAAGACAUAGUUUAUAAUUGCAUUUGGUUGUCAUAGUUUGCCCUAUGUCCAGGAAUUGUCGGAGUCAAUUCCUGAGAACUAAGCAUUCAGAAACUUCUGGGUUGUGAUAGAUUAAGAUCAACUGACAGGUAAAACAAUUAUGCAAAUUACAGGAGAGUUAUAAAUGCAGCUGCAGUUGUCUCAGGUAGGUCUGAGGCACUGGUGGCUUAGCAAGGGUCUCCUUUGGAUUUUAUCUUCUUUGCCAUGUUUCCUUUCUGAUGUCAACUUUUACACUUUGUGUAUGAUUGGUAUCAGUUUAGAAGCAAGAUAAUACUGCUGUUCACUUUACUUUUCCUGGUACAGUCUCCCUGUGAGGCUGAGUUCCUGUCUUAAUUGGGAAUAUGAGUGAAUGUCACCCUAUGCUACUCUUCACUCUGUAAAACCCCACUGUUAGGGUUUCUGGACUCUUUUAAAUAAUGUAACUUAUUUAAUAUUUAAAUAAUAUUUAGCACAAAGUAUUACAGGAGUAAUUGUUUAACCAUUAAUAGAUAAGUUGUUUCUAAGUUCAUACCAUAUAAAACACAGCACAACAGUCCUCCUGCCUUUCAAUGUAAACAUUUCUAUGUGUGGGUAUAUAACUUAAGUGGUAAGCAUGUAGAUCAAUCCUUAGAUAGAUAGAUACAUAUGAUAUGAUAGAAUAAUACAGAGAUCAUGCAUUUUAUCCUUCUUAGGUAAGUCAAAAUGCUCUCCAAACAACCUUAUUAAAAUAAAUAUAGCUCCAUUGUCAAUGCAAGGUGUUAGAACAAUAGCUUGAUUUUUAAUAUUAGUUUUUUAAAAGCUAGUAGGAUAACCAUUUGGUUGUUCAUCAAAUAUGUCUGACUAUAUAUCUUCGGGUUUGAUGGGUAAUAUUAUUAGUUUUGGCCACAGCACAAUUUUCUGAAGAGGGGUUUAGAAAGCUCUUUCCCUUUGUGUUAUUGAUUGGUAAUAUUUGUGGGAUAGUCUCUUUAAGUAGCUGGGAUUUUGGUCAGUCUUCAUUUGACUUGUAAGAGUAUCCUAAAGAUGUCAAUGAUGAAGGAAUAAGAGUUACUGUAAUACUAUGUUAGUAAGGUUCAAAGGUUGUAUACGAUACAUCCUAGCUUGUCUUGACAAAUACUGCUCAUGCUUACUCUAGGUUACCACCUAUACUUCUUCAUCCGCAGUUUUGUAUAUAGUCCUAGUCCAGUUGUGUUCUUAGGUCAGCCUGUUGGUUAGGAAGGGGUUUACAUUUCUAAAAGAACUAAUACUUUCCAUUUCUUAAUGUGUCCUUUUUGUAGUAAUUUUGUUUAUAUCUUUUAUUAUUUAUAUACCUGCUAUUUUAUGCAAUGAAAUUU